CGGUAUCAGUUACCAGAGUGGUUAGAGAAUUCUCUCUUCUGAGCCCUGAAGCCUCCUCUUCUGUAUACUGUGAUUAUUGUGAUUAUUGUCGAGAUGGAAGGAGACCUCGAAAACCAGAGACAUAAGACGAUAUUACUGUGAUUAUUGUGGCAUUCCUCUCUCACGUCCUCGCUAACCUCAAGGAAGAGAUGGAUGAUGAAAGUGUAAAUGGAGAUGAGAAAUCAGAGGUUGUGAAAUCCAGUACUUGUGAAGAAUGAAUGCUCAGUCCUUUCUAAUUUAGCAUCAUUCUUCUGGGGAUUGAUUCUGCAGGAAUUAGUGCUCUUUGACAAAACGCAGUACAUGUUAUAGCGUGAAGCAUUGGAUCCCACAGAAAGAACUCCAAAAUGCGGAGGCUGUAAAUUCUUACUUGAAUGGACCUGUAUCAGGAGGGAGACUUUCUGAAAAAGCUCCUUCAAGUGCGCCUCAAUCACGCUUGUUUCCAUUUGAGGUGGUACAAAGCAACUGAAAAAGAACAUCAAGAGACAUCUCCCCAAGUACGAGGGUCGUGUAUCAGCAGGGAGAAUAAAAUGUGAUUUCAAGGGUUGUCUCCAUACAUUUUCUACAAAAUCUAAUCUUGCUCAGCAUGUGAAGGCUGUCCACCUUGAAAUCAAACCUUUUGUCUGUAGCUUACGAGAUUGCAGCAUGAGAUUCUCGUACAAGCAUGUUAGAAACAACCACGGCAUGCUAUGUUUAUACUCCUGGUGAUUCUGAAGACUCUGAUGAGCAAUUGCUGUCAAGGCCUAGGGGAGGAUGUAAGAGAAAGUGCCCUAGUGUGGAAUCACUGAUUAGGAAAAGGGUUUGCUCCACCAAGCCACCUUGAUCCUAUGAUGAAUCAUUUGCGCUCUUUGGAGACAGGUCAGACAUGAAUAUCACCAAAAUAGAUAGAUUGAUGGCAUAUAUAUUACUUGUGAAUUGAGUUCUACAUCUAUCUUUUUGAGACUGCUUUUUCUCAAGUAUGAAGAUAUCGGUUGUAUGUGGAUUUUGGGGCUUAUAUAAAUUAAAUGGCACACCGUAGGCAAUCUUUGCACAAGUUGGUAUAUAUGGCCCCUUUCUACUGUAUAAAUCAUGGUUUUUCUGCA